GUCUUAGUUCCUCCUCUCUUUCUGCCAGGAACCCGCCUCGGUCCUCGGGGCCCUCCGCCCUCUGGGCCCCGCGCCUCCGUUCGGGCGGCCUCCGUCCGUUGCCCGCGAGGUCGGCCCCGGAGGCAGCCUCCCCGGCCUCCAGUGGACGCGGCCGCGAGCUUUCCUCCUGGCUGCCUGCGCAGUCGCGUUUUGUGCACCAGAGCCUAUGAAUUUUGAAGAUGAAUGAAGGUCAUGAUAAAUGUUUUCCAAAAACUUGAGAUAGAGGAUGGCUUUGAAAAAACCACUAGGAGCACAACAACAUGUAUAAGUUUAUAGGUAGCUGCAGAUGAAUGUCAAAGUCCUUAGCUGUGCUGUUGAAAAUUCCUUCAUUGCCUCAAGUAAUUAUGAUUUAUGAAGCAACUACAUCUACUUAUAAUUCACAGGUUACCACAUUUUGGAAGGAAAAAAUGAAGAAUUGGUCAAGACGACAUGAAAUGAUGAAAAUUAGUAUUUUAUUUAACAUUGAUCACCUCACAGUAAAUUAUAUAGGAAAAUAAAUGUUUGACUACUUUUGAUUGCUGGGCAAUAAAGUCUUUAAAACAUAUCAACUCUUGAAACAGCUAUUCUCAUAGUCACUAGUCAGACUUGUUUUUUUUUGUUUUUGUUUUUGUUUUGUUUUGUUUUGUUUUUUUUGGAGGAAGAUUAGCCCUCAGCUAACUACUGCCAGUCCUCCUCUUUUUGCUGAGGAAGCCUGGCUCUGAGCUAAGAUCCGUGCCCGUCUUCCUCUAGUUUAUACGUGGGAGGCCUACCACAGCAUGGCUGCCAAGCAGUGCCAUGUCCGCACCCGGGAUCCGAACCAGCGAACCCCGGGCCGCCAAGAAGCGGAACGUGCGAACUUAACCGCUGCGCCACCGGGCCGGCCCCUCAGACUUGUUUUUUAACAUACUUUAGGGGUAGUAUGUUCUUCACAAUAACUAGGGUUUUUGUGGAUAAUAAGUCUCUGAGGUGGCAGGCAGCUGGGGAGAAAUUUCUAGUACCUCCAGUUCUCAUACCCUUUCUUGCCUACCUUAGCGGAUUCCUGGAGAGGCCCUAAUCACUGCAUAUUCACUAUGUGGACUUCCCCUUUAGAACCUGCUAUUGGACCUGAAAAACUCCUAAACUCCUUAAUGAAUUGCCCUUUACAAGUCAAGGUUUCACCUGUGACCUACAGAUUUUUUGUAAAUUUAAAAUUUUUAUUAAUUUGCUUUCACCUUUGUGAACCAAAUAAUCCUAAUCCUAGUACAAAUAAUAACAACAUGCUAUAUUAAGGAAGAUGGUGACUGGACAGUCUAGUCUGUCCAGGAAUGGAGAAUUUAUAAGAAUUCUAAAACUGAGCUGAAUUCUUACCUCAGAGAAGACUUAGCUAAAUCUUCCUUUUUCCCUGUUGAGGCCUUGCUUUUAUCAGGGUUCUAAUUUCAGUAUGUUAAACCACAGUAUAAAAUGUGUACAGUGACAUCUCUGUAGUCACUUCCCAUUAGAGGCAACAUUUGAAAACCAUUUCCCUGCAGUGUUUGAUAUUGGUCCUCCUGUUUCAAAAGAACCUUAACACUUCACAAUUGUAAAAUGGAGGCCAUUUUAUGGAUCCUAGUUUUAUAAAAUAGAAAUGUUUUCCCUUCAUCCCAUAGAGAACCAGAAAAAUAAUAUAUAAGAAGGCAUAAAAUAAAGUCUUAACUACAGAAUUGUAAUAUGUAAAUAUUUUGUUUUUAAAAACUAGUUUUGCCUUCUGAAAGCUAACGCUAUAGUCUGGCACUAGUGGAUAUUCAAUAAAUAUUGUUGAGUGAA